CAUCUACCUUACUCGAAAUAACCCGUCGAUGAAGACCACUAAAUGACGAAUCCUAAUAGCCCAAUGGGUUUCAUUGCGGAUAUGAGGCAUUUGUCUGAGCGGG
ensembl:snoRNA C05H8.3 ncRNA